UCCAGAAACUUUUUAGAAAUGAACUGUGCUGUGUGUAGUUUACUGUGUGUGGGUUUUAAUUAAUAUUCUGAUCCGCCACUCUUGGGCGAGCCGAGCCGAGCCGGGCCGGGCCCUUCGAAGAUGAUUUGAACAUGGAGAAAAUGACCCAUAAUUGUCACCGUUUUGCUCAUGGCAGUCUCAUCGGUUUUUUCGGGCCGUUUUUUGUACGGCAUCUUCAUGCAGGCCAGCUGGCACUUAGGUGACUUUUGUUCCGAGUCAACAGCAUGGAAUGGUUGCAGUGUGAAAAAUUCAUUUAAGCAGUCGGUAAACUACGGCAUCAUAUAUCAUCCAGGGCGUCCAGGGAAGACGCCGCCACAGAGACCUCGAGCACACCAAAGGCAGGGAGCAGACCAAGGCAAAGGAAAAUUGGCAGAGAGCCCAUGCCCAUGCCCAUGCCCAUAACCAUAACCAUGGCUAUGGCCAGGCUAUAUCCUUGCGGCUAUGCUCAGCGCCUAGUUCAUAAAUCAUUAGGCUCGAUUGUCUGGCCAACACGCUUUCGCCCUCGCCCUCGCCCCCUCCUACGAGAGUCCGGCUCCUCGCCCUGUAGCCUGUGUGGAUCUCCAUCCAACCCCUACCACACACAAAAACGAAAGGAAGAACACACUUACAUACACACAUACAUAUGAGGGAGCACAGAAUCAGAAGUAAUAAGAAAGGAGUUUCAAAAAUCAGCCUGAAGACAGAUACUGCUCGUACCUGCAGAUGUACAGGUGGGCCCGGCCCCUUGAAAUUUAUCGCACGUUAUGCCUGAUGCUAAGAGUUGUAAUUUUUCAUGAACAACCCCCGGACACGGAGCCGCACGACACGCCAAGCAGCACCAAAAACUGAAGAGAAGGAGAUUGGGGGGCAUCUACCUGGAAGAUGGAGAUGAAGCGACAAUGCCUCCUCACAUGUCUAACAAACGAGCAAUGGUAUAAUGAUGCCAGUCAACACACACACGCACGCACCAGACAAGAGUUUGCAGAGCGAAUUGUGGAAAACGAGAUGGUAGAAAGAUCAUAGAAUGACUCGAAUAUCAAAUAUCGUUUACUCGAUUCAAAUAAAAAUUCACCUAAAAUUCGACUAAGAAGAUUCCCUAUUUAAUGGUAGCAUUACCGAAUAAAAGCGGAGGAUAACUAAACAAAAA